rnacentral:rRNA from 1 species
AUUGAACGCUGGCGGCAUGCUUUACACAUGCAAGUCGAACGGUAACAGGCCUUCGGGUGCUGACGAGUGGCGAACGGGUGAGUAAUGCAUCGGAACGUGCCCAGAGGUGGGGGAUAACGCAGCGAAAGCUGUGCUAAUACCGCAUGUGAUCUGAGGAUGAAAGCGGGGGACCAAGCAGCAAUGUUUGGCCUCGCGCCUCUGGAGCGGCCGAUGUCAGAUUAGGUAGUUGGUGGGGUAAAGGCCUACCAAGCCGACGAUCUGUAGCUGGUCUGAGAGGACGACCAGCCACACUGGGACUGAGACACGGCCCAGACUCCUACGGGAGGCAGCAGUGGGGAAUUUUGGACAAUGGGCGCAAGCCUGAUCCAGCAAUGCCGCGUGCGGGAAGAAGGCCUUCGGGUUGUAAACCGCUUUUGUACGGAACGAAAAGGCUCUGGCUAAUACCUGGGGCUGAUGACGGUACCGUAAGAAUAGGCACCGGCUAACUACGUG